rnacentral:rRNA from 1 species
ACUCCUACGGGAGGCAGCAGUGGGGAAUUUUGCGCAAUGGGCGAAAGCCUGACGCAGCGACGCCGCGUGAGGGAAGAAGGUUUUCGGAUCGUAAACCUCUGUCGGGGGGGAAGAAACUAUCGGCGACCAAUACUCGCCGGUAUUGACGGUACCCCCUAAGGAAGCAUCGGCUAACUACGUGCCAGCAGCCGCGGUAAUACGUAGGAUGCAAGCGUUGUUCGGAAUUAUUGGGCGUAAAGGGCGCGUAGGUGGCCCUGUAAGUCAUGGGUGAAAUCCCACGGCUUAACCGAGGAAUUGCCUAUGAUACUGCAGGGCUUGAGUACGGGAAAGGGAAGUGGAAUUCCUGGUGUAGCGGUGAAAUGCGUAGAUAUCAGGAGGAACACCGGUGGCGAAGGCGGCUUCCUGGACCGAUACUGACACUGAGGCGCGAAAGCGUGGGUAGCAAACAGGAUUAGAUACCCUGGUAGUC